UACAGAGGUCCCGAGCGUUGUUCGGAUUCACUGGGCGUAAAGGGUGCGUAGGUGGUAAGGUAAGUCGGAUGUGAAAGCUCGGAGCUCAACUCCGAAAUGGCAUUGGAAACUACCUUGCUCGAGGGUUGGAGGGGGGACUGGAAUACUUGGUGUAGCAGUGAAAUGCGUAGAUAUCAAGUGGAACACCAGUGGCGAAGGCGAGUCCCUGGACAACUCCUGACACUGAGGCACGAAAGCUAGGGGAGCAAACAGG
rnacentral:rRNA from 1 species